UACGAAGGGGGCUAGCGUUGCUCGGAAUCACUGGGCGUAAAGCGCACGUAGGCGGCUUUUUAAGUCAGGGGUGAAAUCCUGGAGCUCAACUCCAGAACUGCCUUUGAUACUGGAAAGCUUGAGUCCGGAAGAGGUGAGUGGAACUCCGAGUGUAGAGGUGAAAUGCGUAGAGAUCCGGAGGAACACCAGUGGCGAAGGCGACACGCUGGGCCGUACCUGACACUGAUGCGCGACAGCAUGGGGAGCAAACAGG
rnacentral:rRNA from 1 species